rnacentral:rRNA from 1 species
UACACCUAUUAAGUCGUCGGCAGCGUCAGAUGUGUAUAAGAGACAGAUCCUGAGUACGGCGGGACACGAGUAAUCUUGUCGGAAUCCACGGGGACCAUCCCGUAAGGCUAAAUACUUUCUAAUGACCGAUAGUGAACAAGUACCGUGAGGGAAAGGUGAAAAGAACCCCGGGAGGGGAGUGAAAUAGAAUACUGAAACCAUAUGCUUACAAAAAGUUCGAGCCCGUUAAUGGGUGAGAGCGUGCCUUUUGCAGAAUGAGCCGGCGAGUUAUGGUAUUGUGCAAGGUUAAGUGGAAAACACGGAGCCGAAGCGAAAGCGAGUCUUAAUAGGGCGAUUUAGUACAAUGCUGUAGACCCGAAACCGAGUGAUCUAGCCAUGAGCAGGUUGAAGUAAGGGUGAAACCUUAUGGAGGACCGAACCAGGACACGUUGUAAAGUGUUUGGAUGACUUGUGGUUAGCGGUGAAAUUCCAAUCGAACUCGGAGAUAGCUGGUUCUCCCCGAAAUAGGUUUAGGCCUAGCCUCGGAUAAUGCUACCUGGAGGUAGAGCACUGAAUAUGCAAUGGCCCCGUCUAGGGGUACUGAGUGUAAUCAACCUCCGAAUGCCAGGCAAGUAGAUCCGGGAGUCAGUGUAUGAGGUGAUAACGUCCAUACGCGAGAGGAAAAUAAUCCAGACCGUCAGCUAAGGUCCCAAAAUAUAUGUUAAGUGGGAAAGGAUGUGGAGUCGCACGAACAGCUAGGAGGUUGGCUUAGAAGCAGCCAUCCUUUAAAGAGUGCGUAAUAGCUCACUAGUCGAGUAACUCUGCGCCGAAGAUGUACCGGGGCUAAACAUAUUACCGAAGCUACGGAUUCAUGUUUACAUGAAUGGUAGGGGAGCGUUCUAAGGGCGCUGAAGAUAGACCGUGAGGACUAUUGGAGCGCUUAGAAGUGAGAAUGCCGGCGUGAGUAACGUAAGGUAGGUGAGAAUCCUACCCACCGUUUGACCAAGGUUUCCAGGGUAAAGUUCGUCUUCCCUGGGUUAGUCAGGACCUAAGGCGAGGCCGAGAGGCGUAGUCGAUGGACAACAGGUUUAUAUUCCUGUACUACUUAUAUGACUGAUGGAGUGACGGAGAAGGAUAGGAGGAUCCUGUUAUUGGAUUCAGGUCUAAGCACAAAGGUUGAUGCAUUGGCAAAUCCGUGACAUCGAUAAGACUGAAGUGUGAUGGCGACGUAUUCUACGGAAUACUAAGUCCUCUGACUCCAUGCUUCCAAGAAAAGCUUCUAAAGAUAUUGUAUAAGUACCUGUACCGCAAACCAACACAGGUGGUCAAGGAGAGUAUCCUAAGGUGAGCGAGAGAACUAUGGUUAAGGAACUCGGCAAAAUUACCCCGUAACUUAGGGAGAAGGGGAGGUCUGUUCUGCAGACCCGCAGUGAAUAGGCCCAGGCAACUGUUUACCAAAAACACAGGUCUCUGCUAAAGCGUAAGCUGAUGUAUAGGGGCUGACGCCUGCCCAGUGCUGGAAGGUUAAGAGGAUUUGUUAGAUGGACGUAAGUCGAUAACAUCGAAGCAUUGAAUUGAAGCCCCAGUGAACGGCGGCCGUAACUAUAACGGUCCUAAGGUAGCGAAAUUCCUUGUCAGGUAAGUUCUGACCCGCACGAAAGGCGUAAUGAUCUGGGCGCUGUCUCAACCAUAGACUCGGUGAAAUCUUAAUACCUGUGAAAAUGCAGGUUACCCGCGACAGGACGGAAAGACCCCAUGGAGCUUUACUGUAGCUUGAUAUUGGAAUCAGGUAAUUUAUGUAGAGGAUAGGUGGUAGACUUUGAUAUACAGACGCCAGUUUGUAUGGAGUCGCCCUUGGAAUACCACCCUUAAAUUAUUUGAUUUCUAACCUCGACCCGUGAUCCGGGCCAGGGACAGUGUCUGGUGGGCAGUUUGACUGGGGCGGUCGCCUCCCAAAGAGUAACGGAGGCGCUCAAAGGUUCCCUCAGAUUGGUCGGAAAUCAAUCUAAGAGCGUAAUGGUAUAAGGGAGCUUGACUGUGAGACUUACAAGUCGAGCAGGGACGAAAGUCGGACAUAGUGGUCAGGCGGUUGAGAAUGGAAUUGCCGUCGCUUAACGGAUAAAAGUUACCCUGGGGAUAACAGGCUGAUACCACCCAAUAG